rnacentral:rRNA from 1 species
UUUGUGUAGAAAAAAAAAAAAUAAUACAAGGUUUCCGUAGGUGAACCUGCGGAAGGAUCAUUGUCGAAACCUGCCUAGCAGAACGACCCGUGAAUGUGUUAUCAUACAAAACAACGGGAGGGUGCGGACGCAGACUUGCCCCAACCCCUCUCGAUGCCUUGGUGUGCUUGGUCUUGCCUCAUCUCCCUUUAUCGGGUGUGUGAUACAGGUUCCAACCACCCCAAGACGAAACCAACAACCCCCGGCGCGAAUUGCGCCAAGGAAUUAUAAUGAAAGGAGGGCACGUUACUGUCGACUACCCGUCCGCGGUGUAUGUGAGGCAGUGACGUGGCCUAUCUUUGUCGUGAACAUACAAAACGACUCUCGGCAACGGAUAUCUCGGCUCUCGCAUCGAUGAAGAACGUAGCGAAAUGCGAUACUUGGUGUGAAUUGCAGAAUCCCGUGAACCAUCGAGUCUUUGAACGCAAGUUGCGCCCCAAGCCAUUAGGCCGAGGGCACGUCUGCCUGGGUGUCACGCAUCGUUGCCCCCAUCAAACCUCAAGCCUUUCGGCAAAGGUUGAAGUGUGGGCGGAAAUUGGCUUCCCGUGCGCUCACCGCUCGCGGUUGGCCCAAAUAUAAGUCAACGUUGAUGAAGCGUCGCGACGAUCGGUGGGAAUGCUUUAUGCUGCCUCUUUCGAAGUCGUGUGUGCUCGUCAAUUCGGAUCUUACGACCCUUCUGGCAUCGCAAUGGCGGUGCUCGCAUCGCGACCCCAGUCAGGCGGGAUUACCACUUUUC